CUUAAAAUCAUUUGAUUUUGGUGUUGACAUUGGGGGAGAAAAAGUAUGUAUUUUAUUGUAUGCUGAUGAUAUCGUACUGUUAGCAAAUACUGAGAAUGAGUUACAAAACCUCUUAGAUGAGUUAUAUCAUUGGUGUACUGACAAUAAAAUGACUAUUAAUUCAUGUAAGAGUAAUGUUGUCCAUUUCAGACCGACCUCAUUUGAACGAUCAAGUCACGUCUUUAAGUGUGGGGAUAUGAAUAUUGCUACUAGCAGCGAAUAUGCUUAUCUAGGCCUUGUUUUAAAUGAGUUUCUAGACUUUAGUAUUACUGCAAAAGCAGUUGCUAGGUCAGCAAACAGAGCUCUAGGUCUGGUUAUAGCUAAGUGUAAAGCUAUUGGUGGCAUGUCAUAUGACGUCUAUAAAAAACUAUUUGAUGCACUUGUAAGUCCUAUUGUUGAAUAUGGUGCCGCGAUUUGGGGAUGCAAGAAUUUCUCAUUUAUUAAUGCGAUUCAAAUGAGAGCGUGUAGGUUCUUCCUUGGUGUUGGUAAAUAUACACCUAAUCCAGCUAUUAUGGGAGACAUGGGGUGGAUUCCAAUUUACCAUACUCAAUGGAAAGUAAUUGCAAGACACUGGCACAGAUUAGUAAAUAUGGAGCCAGAUCGUAUUAAUAGGAAAAUAUUCAUAUGGGCAGAUGAGGUCAGUCUGAAACAUAGAAUUGUGAAAAAUUGGAAUUUCAUUGUUAAAAAACAUUUCACGGAACUUGAAUUGGUUGACUUUUGUAAUACAAACACUAAUAUUAAUAAAAAUAUGUUUAUUGAUACAGUCAUGUCAAGAAUGUUUGAUAUUUAUAUUGAAGAAUGGAAAAGUAUUGUUAGUUCAUCCUCUUCCAGACGGGGAAAUGGGCGGAAUAAAUUGAGAACCUAUAAUAUUUUUAAGCAGGAGUAUGUUGUAGAAAACUACUGCAAACUGUUAAUGCCUUUUUGUGAAAGAAGCGCCUUUGCAAAAUUUAGAUGUGGGGUGGCUCCUAUUAGACUGGAAACUGGGAGGUAUGAAAAUUUGCCGCUGGAAGAGAGAUGUUGUUUUAAUUGUUUUAAUACUGUCGAAGAUGAAUAUCAUGUUAUUUUACAUUGUCCUGUUUAUAAUGAUCUUAGACAAGUUCUUUUUACUGAGUCUCUUAAAAUUGAUGAACAUUUUAAUAGUUUUACAGAUUGUC
rnacentral:lncRNA from 1 species